rnacentral:rRNA from 1 species
CCUACGGGAGGCAGCAGUGGGGAAUAUUGGACAAUGGGGGGAACCCUGAUCCAGCGACGCCGCGUGAGUGAAGAAGUAUUUCGGUAUGUUAAGCUCUAUCAGCAGGGAAGCAAAUGACGGUACCUGACUAAGAAGCACCGGCUAACUACGUGCCAGCAGCCGCGGUAAUACGUAGGGGGCAAGCGUUAUCCGGAUUUACUGGGUGUAAAGGGAGCGUAGACGGCGAUGCAAGCCAGAUGGGAAUGCCCGGGGCCAAACCCCGGGACUGCAUUUGGAACUGGAUAGCUGGAGUGGCGGAGAGGCAUGCGGAAUUCGUGGUGUAGCGGUGAAAUGCGUAGAUAUUAGGAGGAACACCAGUGGCGAAGGCGGCCUGCUGGAUGAUGACUGACGUUGAGGCUCGAAAGCGUGGGGAGCAAACAGGAUUAGAUACCCGGGUAGUC